GUUCAAUGCUGUGUGAGGCCACACCUGUCUGUAGCCCGGUGUCGGACUCUGACCCAGACUCAGUCCAACACACCCACCACCUCACAUGACUGUACCACCUGUAUCACAGACUGUGGACCCACAAUAGCCAAUUGAAGACUUGAGGUUGGCCCGGAGGUCCAUGGAGACUUUGUGCUUUGAGCCCAGCAGCGAGCGAAGAAUGGCGUCAGCAGACACACGAACGCGCCGAAGACUAGGCCUCUUGAAUUUCCCCCUGAGGUCCAACACCUUUAUGUUCAGGUCUUUAAUCUGGAACAGAUCAUUUACAUGACUUCUGCAGCAUAUUGAAUUUAAUGAGGAGGUUAACAUUUUUAAAUUUGGCCAAUAGCACACAGAGAUAUGCUGGGAAAGUAUCAUGUACCUCACGUGUGUUGAGCAUGACUUUAGCUUCGAUGUCAUAUCGCUCCUCAUCAACCACAUCUAUCUUAGUAUGGAGCUCUUUGCAAAGGUCCUAUACAUAAACACACAUAAAAACACACACAAAUCUUAUAUAUAGUUAUUUAGUAGUAAUGAUUAUUACGAGGGUAGAUUUUACUGUUAUCAUAUACUGUAGUUUUUUGUAACCUAAAUUUGUGUAUCUAAAGUCUUUACAUUUCUGAGAAUUUUUCUCUAGAAACUAUGCUCAUGAAGAAGCUUAAGGUCCCUAAAUUCCUUUCAUUUAAAAAAAUUGUGGAAUUGUGGAGAUCUGAGGACAAGUUACCUGCAGCUGUGCAAGACUGUGGCCACUGAUGUGUAGCGGAGGAGCUCUCUCUGACAGAUACUUAUUUUUCUCCUCCUCUUUAACCAGGAUCUCCUGUUCCAAUUCCUCCUUGGCCUUUGCAACCAUGAGACUCUGCAUGAAUAUGAUGUCAUGUAAAUGUCACCGUGUAAUACAGAAUGCCCUUACAUUUGCUCUUGUCGAGCAAAACCAGCACAGCAAGCUUGUAUUGUUUUAACAUGCAAAUACAAACGUUCAGUUCUCAGAGCACACGCUCUUGAUCAGCAUUAUCCAGCGUAGUACAGUUCAACAGAAUGUGGCCACUGCUGCCCUCCUGUGGUCAAACAUUAUGUAAUAAAUUAUCAAGAAAUGAGGGUGAAUGAUUCUGCUGACCUUGAGCAUCAGCUUCCUCGAGGCUGAGAUCUUGGGUUUCCUCUGGAUGGAGAACAUAAUUCAGGACAUGAAUCCUAACUGAUUUGAUUAUUAUAAUUUUAGAAUCAAGGAAUACUAUUAUCAUGGUCAUUGAUUAAAAAUAGUUCUUACCUCUUGCCUGUAAAAUAAAAAAAUGGAAAGGAUUUAAAGCAGAGAAAAUUAAAGGCCAAACAUGUUAGUGUAACAAAACUCAGAAAAAAUGAUUUUGUCUUUGUUUAUGUUUGUUAAUGACAACAGAGUCUACAUAAAGAAUACUCACACGUGUUCAGGCAUCCUGCAGACGAGAUGUCACUGGAAGAGAGACGAAUUAUGUCAGAAACACACGCGCACACACACGCACACACACACACACACACACACACACACACACACACACACACACACACACACACACACACACACACACACACACACACACACACACACACACAAAACAGUUCUUCAUGGAAGUUUGGCUUCUUAUUUGAAUGGAUCACAAACCAAAAUGAUGUGUCUUUAAUGCAUUAAAAAAUCUGGACUUUC